UUUCGUGGUGCAGCAGGUGCGAAAACUUUACAAUGCGGGCAACCGUUAUAACGGAAACCGAGAGUGCCAGCUCAGGUGGGGCGUCCGACAGUUUAAAAAUCUGUUGAAGAAAGGGCCGGGCUAGACCGGUGCCAGCCGUCGCGGUAAAUCUGGUGGCUUGAGUGGUGCCCGCUUUUAUUGGGCUUAAAGGGUCCGUAUCUGGAUUCACAAGUUCCCCGAGAAAUGUAUUGGGUUAAUCAAUAGGUUUUCAGGGGAUACUGUGAGUAUAGUGACCCUGAGAGGUGAGAGGUACUCCCGGGGUAUGAGUGAAAUCCUGUAAUCCCGGUGGGACGACCUCUGGAGAAGGCAUGUCACCAGAACGGAUUCGACAGUGAGGGAAGUAAUCCGGGGGAGCAAACCGGAUGAGAUACCCGGGUAGUCCCACCCGUAAACGAUGCUCCCUAGGUUUUUCAAUGAACACGGGUCAGUCAGGUGCCGUAGUGAAACCGUGAAACUCGCCGCAUGGUGAGUACGGUCUCAAGCAUGAAACUUAAAGGAAUCGGCGGGCGAGCAC
rnacentral:rRNA from 1 species